GGGUGAUUAGCUCAGCUGGUUCAGAGCAUCUGCCUUACAAGCAGAGGGUCGGGGGUUCGAAUCCCUCAUCACCCACAA
rnacentral:tRNA from 1 species